UUACAGCCAUAUCAUGUUGAAACACUAGUUCCCAUAUGAUCACCAAAGUUAAGCAUCAUCAAGCCUGCUCAGUACCUAGAUGGGUGACCACUUGGGAAUAACAGGUGCUA